rnacentral:rRNA from 1 species
UACGUAGGGAGCAAGCGUUGUCCGGAAUCAUUGGGCGUAAAGCGCGCGUAGGUGGCCCCGUAAGUCCGCUGUGAAAGUCAAAGGCUCAACCUUUGAAAGCCGGUGGAUACUGUGGGGCUAGAGUACGGAAGAGGCGAGUGGAAUUCCUGGUGUAGCGGUGGAAUGCGCAGAUAUCAGGAGGAACACCAAUAGCGAAGGCAGCUCGCUGGGACGUUACUGACGCUGAGACGCGAAAGCGUGGGGAGCAAACAGG